AUGGGUAGCUGGACCUUCUGCUACGUGGCCCUUUGUCUUCUGGGAGCAGGACCCAUGGAUGCUGAAAUCUACCAGAUGAGAUUCCUGCUCGCUGAGGCUGGACGGGAUGUGACCCUGGAGUGUAAACAGGAUCUGAGCUACAACGCCAUGUACUGGUACCGGCAGGAUGCAGGGCAGGGUCUGAGGCUGAUUUACUACUCUCCGGUUGAAAAGGAUGUUCAGAGAGGAGACAUAUCUGAAGGCUACAAUGUCUCUCGAGAGGAGAAGGGGCUGUUUCCUCUCACUGUGAAGGCGGCUCACACCAACCAAACAGCCUUGUACCUCUGUGCUGGUAGCGUCACAGUGGAGCACAGCCACACCACACCUGUGCACAAACCCGCUCCAGCCCUGCAGCUCCCAACAUAG